rnacentral:tRNA from 1 species
ACUGCUGUAGUUUAAGCAAAACACCGACCUUGUAAGUCGAAAAGUGGAGAAACAUCUCCCACCAGUAACC